rnacentral:rRNA from 1 species
UCUGACUUCCAGCCAAUAAGUUUGAUUUACGCGGUUGCUAAGAUUAUCGCGAAAAUGAUGGCCACUCGACUGGCCCCUCACAUGCCCGAGCUGGUUUCCAACACACAGAGUGCUUUUAUUAAGAAAAGAAGUAUUCAUGAUAACUUCCUGUAUGUCCGCAACUUGGCCCGUCGAUUUCACCGUGCCAAAUCUCCAACCCUGUUAUUCAAGCUUGGCAUAAAAAAGCCUUCAACUCGGUUCGAUGGGACUACCUCAUGGACUGACUGUGUCACCAUCAUUUCCCAAGUGUUUUUUGUGACUGGAUUUCGACGCUUCUUUCCACGGCCUCUUCCAGGGUGCUCCUUAAUGGUAUUGCGGGUGACCCUAUCAAGCAUGGUCGUGGGCUUCGGCAGGGGGAUCCUUUAUCCCCCUUGCUCUUUGUCCUCGCCAUCGACUCUCUCCUCCACAUUCUCGCAAAGGCCACCGAGCAAGGCAACCUUCACCCGCUAUGUGGAAAUCCGAUUCAGCCAUCUUUGUUGCGCCUAUCAAAGAGGACAUCCAGUUUCUAGCCUCGAUGUUGAGCUGCUUUGGUGA